UACGGAGGGUGCAAGCGUUGUUCGGAUUUACUGGGCGUAAAGCGCGCGCAGGUGGGUGUACAAGUCGGAAGUGAAAUCCCAGGGCUCAACCCUGGGGCUGCUCCCGAAACUGUACGCCUAGGGACUGGUAGAGGCUGGUAGAAUUCCCGGUGUAGCGGUGGAAUGCGUAGAGAUCGGGAAGAAUACCCGUGGCGAAGGCGGCCAGCUGGGCCAGAUCCGACACUGAGGCGCGAAAGCGUGGGGAGCAAACAGG
rnacentral:rRNA from 1 species